AGAGUUUGAUCAUGGCUCAGGAUGAACGCUAGCGGCAGGCUUAAUACAUGCAAGUCGAGGGGCAGCACAGGUAGCAAUACUGGGUGGCGACCGGCAAACGGGUGCGGAACACGUACGCAACCUUCCUUUAAGUGGAGAAUAGCCCAGGGAAACUUGGAUUAAUACUCCGUAAGACAAUGGAGUGGCAUCACUCAGUUGUUAAAGUUACGACGCUUAAAGAUGGGCGUGCGGCUGAUUAGGUAGUUGGCGGAGUAACAGCCCACCAAGCCAACGAUCAGUAACUGGUGUGAGAGCACGACCAGUCACACGGGCACUGAGACACGGGCCCGACUCCUACGGGAGGCAGCAGUAAGGAAUAUUGGUCAAUGGACGCAAGUCUGAACCAGCCAUGCCGCGUGGAGGAUGAAGGCCCUCUGGGUUGUAAACUUCUUUUAUUUGGGAAGAAACCUAUCCUUUCUAGGGUAGUUGACGGUACCAGAUGAAUAAGCACCGGCUAACUCCGUGCCAGCAGCCGCGGUAAUACGGAGGGUGCAAGCGUUAUCCGGAUUCACUGGGUUUAAAGGGUGCGUAGGUGGGCAGGUAAGUCAGUGGUGAAAUCUCCGGGCUUAACCCGGAAACUGCCGUUGAUACUAUCUGUCUUGAAUGUAGUGGAGGUGAGCGGAAUAUGUCAUGUAGCGGUGAAAUGCUUAGAUAUGACAUAGAACACCAAUUGCGAAGGCAGCUCGCUACACUACUAUUGACACUGAGGCACGAAAGCGUGGGGAUCAAACAGGAUUAGAUACCCUAGUAGUCC
rnacentral:rRNA from 1 species